UUUUUGGAGAGUUUGAUCCUGGCUCAGGACGAACGCUGGCGGCGUGCCUAAUACAUGCAAGUCGAGCGGACAGAAGGGAGCUU
rnacentral:ncRNA from 1 species